CCUACGGGCGGCAGCAGUGAGGAAUAUUGGUCAAUGGGCGCGAGCCUGAACCAGCCAAGUAGCGUGAAGGAUGACUGCCCUACGGGUUGUAAACUUCUUUUAUAAAGGAAUAAAGUGAGGCACGUGUGCCUUUUUGUAUGUACUUUAUGAAUAAGGAUCGGCUAACUCCGUGCCAGCAGCCGCGGUAAUACGGAGGAUCCGAGCGUUAUCGGGAUUUAUUGGGUUUAAAGGGAGCGUAGAUGGGUUGUUAAGUCAGAGGUAAAAGCCCGGGGCUCAACCCCGGCGAGCCGUUGAAACUGGCUGUCUUGAGAUGUCGAGAGGUAUGCGGAAUGCGAGGUGUAGCGGUGAAAUGCUUAGAUAUUGCGCAGAACUCCGAUGGCGAAGGCAGCAUACCGGCGGCGGUCUGACGCUGAGGCACGAAAGCGUGGGUAUCGAACAGGAUUAGAUACCCGUGUAGUC
rnacentral:rRNA from 1 species